AAACCCUUCAGUGGAUGUCAUUUUGGGAAGAACAGUGAUUUCGUGGUGCCUUCCUACCGUAAAAGAAUAUACUUUUGAAUAUUAAAACUCGUCACACGAAAAGCAUUACAUUGUUCAUACAAUACUAAGAAAUCUGCUACAGUGGAUUUUCCUCUGCGGUUCUGCAACGUAUUCAGCUUCAGUAAUGAAAGCGUGAGUCUUCUUUCAUGUCACUCCAUCUUUAACAGGAACCCAUACUGUAUAUUUGGUGUCGCGUUAGAUUAUCUUUUACGGACAGAUGAGGUUAAGACUGGUGGAUGAGAAAAUCCGAUGAGCAUCCGACAGGAGGCUGGUGAUGAGAAUCCGACUGUUGAUUGAAAGAAACAGCUCUCUGUAUAAAAUCAAAAGGAAAGAGUGCUUUGCAGCUGCAGCUGCAUGCACUCUUCCCUUCCUAUAUAGCAGCUACAGCUGGUCCUGAAGUCACAUGACGAUCCAUCCGACAUUGUUGAGAAGCAGUGCAAUGGCCAAAGCGCGCCUUCUUCAAGCCCCGUUGAUGUAGUUAAUCAACCAGGCAACCCCGGCUAGUACCCAAAGCUUGAAAGCCAAUGAAAUCAAACAGAAUGAUUUCAAAUCUUAUCAAAGUGCAUUCUCGCGGAUGACUACUGGGACUCUACAGCAAUAUCUAAUACAUACGGAAAGUUCCAUUUAAACCAGAGAAAUAAAUGAUUAUAAUGGAAAAGCAUUCCUUCCCAUUCAGUCGAUCAAUUAAUAAUAUUUGAUUUAAACAUUAAAGGGACCGCAGGUUGUUUCCUGGUGCCUUCCAACCAAAGAAGACUGAUAGAAGACUCCUAUUGACCCUUGCAAUUUCUUGUAUUCGAGCUUCUGUUUGUUUUCUCACACAUGCUUUUCUGCUACAUCAUACCAAGAAACCUGCGAAUUAAUUUCCUCUUUCCCGAUUUCCACACACAAGAAGCAACAGCUUCAUGGAUCCAUCCGGCAGCAGCGAAUAUAUUGGCACUGUGUUCCGGAGAACCUCUGGGACCUGAAUUGCUCUUUGCUUCACUGAAACUGGAAGCACUCGACUCACUUUUAUCUGACCCAUUUCUUUUUGGUAUGUAGAAAGGAACACUUGUUGUUUAUUUUAUUUUAUUGUGAAUCCUGUUAUCCGGAAGCUCAAUUGGACCCCGAUUAAUGUAGUCGAGUCGGAUAGGCCCGCUAAGAAGUAAAACUCUCCCCACAUGGAUUUCCUGUGUUCACAAGGGCUUACGCCCGAGACCUUACUUAAACAGAAUAAGCGCCGAACAGCAGGAAACAACCAUGCUAUAUAAUCCUUUUCCAGUCUUUUGACCAUUUUAAGGGAUUCGACCAUACUAUGCCAUCUGAGCCACAAAGUUCAUUCUCUAUCAUUGUCUGCAGUCUGCUUCAACGGACUCCUAUUAUUAUUAUUAUUAUUUAACAGGGGGAGUAGGUGGUCCGCAUGGGAACCUGAACACAUCAGAAAGUUGACAAACUUCUAAGAUCAUUUGGGGUGCCAGUCCACUUUUGUUCAAACACUUUUGCUGUUUUAUGGUUAAAGUAUACACACACAGUCGAGAGUCAAGUAAGCCACAAGAAAUCGGACCUUUGGUGUUGUAUACUAAGAUCAUUUGCCAAUCGACUGACCAUCCAAAAAGGACACAGAACCCUGCAGCAGCUGAUAUGGGUAAACCGAAGCAUUCGUCUUGGGAACAUGUGAAGUCGAUACUCGAUCCUGCUAAUCCAAAUAAAAGGAGGUGGCAAUGUAAUUACUGCAACAAAGACUAUGCGGGAGGGGCUUUGAGGAUCAAGGUGCAUUUGGGUUUAGAGAGAGACCAAGGAAUUGAAGUUUGCCAGAAAGUCAAGGAAGGACAGAUGAGUCAGGUGCCCAAGAAUGGAACAAGCUCGGCUACAGAGAAUACAGAAGCUACGGGUUUUUCAUGCAGUGGACUCAUCUUUAACCAAGACAGCGAAAGUGCCAUCGUUUAUGGUGAAUAAGAAUAAGAUUUUGAUAGUAAUUCUGUUGUGAUUCACAUGAAUUUGAACUAAACUUGCGAUAUCUUAAAUGGAUCUGUAUUGAAGCCUUGGCAAUGACCUGUUUCCUGCAGAAAUUUUCUGAUGGAUAUCAGAUGUUGAGUCUGUUGAUGUGCACGUUUAAAUUUCUUAGUGUUGAUAAUUGGACCUUUUGAGUUCACUUGUACUAUAGGGCUGAGACGAGUUCAGACAGCUCCCUGUGAUGGGGUACCUAUCCAUUGGGCUUCAAAAUCUGGUCGGAAACCUU